rnacentral:rRNA from 1 species
GACGAACGCUGGCGGCGUGCUUAACACAUGCAAGUCGAACGGAAAGGCCCUGCUUUUGUGGGGUGCUCGAGUGGCGAACGGGUGAGUAACACGUGAGUAACCUGCCCUUGACUUUGGGAUAACUUCAGGAAACUGGGGCUAAUACCGGAUAGGAGCUCCUGCCGCAUGGUGGGGGUUGGAAAGUUUCGGCGGUUGGGGAUGGACUCGCGGCUUAUCAGCUUGUUGGUGGGGUAGUGGCUUACCAAGGCUUUGACGGGUAGCCGGCCUGAGAGGGUGACCGGCCACAUUAGGACUGAGAUACGGCCCAGACUCCUACGGGAGGCAGCAGUGGGGAAUAUUGCACAAUGGGCGGAAGCCUGAUGCAGCAACGCCGCGUGCGGGAUGACGGCCUUCGGGUUGUAAACCGCUUUCGCCUGUGACGAAGCGUGAGUGACGGUAAUGGGUAAAGAAGCACCGGCUAACUACGUG